rnacentral:rRNA from 1 species
GCCAAUGCUAGCCCUAAGCACAACCAACACUAAUACCAAGCCAACACACACUAAACCAUUUACCUACACAAAGUAUAGGCGAUAGAAAUUUUAAUCUGGCGCUAUAGACACAGUACCGUAAGGGAAAGAUAGAAAACCACCCAAGCACAAAACAGCAAGGACUAACCCCUGUACCUUUCGCAUAAUGAAUUAGCUAGAAACAAUUUCACAAAGAGGACUACAAGCCAAAUCCCCCGAAACCAGACGAGCUACCCAAAAACAGCUAAAAGAGCGCACCCAUCUAUGUGGCAAAAUAGUGGGAAGAUUUCUGGGUAGAGGUGAAAAGCCUACCGAGCCUGGUGAUAGCUGGUUAUCCAAGACAGAAUCUUAGUUCAACCUUAAGCUUACCUAUAGAACUACCUAAUCCCCCUGUAAGCUUAACUGCUAGUCUAAAGAGGGACAGCUCUUUAGACACUAGGAAAAAACCUUAUGGAGAGAGUAAAACCCUCAAUCACCAUAGUUGGCUUAAAAGCAGCCAUCAAUUAAGAAAGCGUUCAAGCUCAACACUAACCACCACAAAAAUACCAAACACAUAACUGAACUCCUCACACCACAUUGGAUUAAUCUAUCACCAUAUAGAAGCAAUAAUGCUAGUAUAAGUAACAUGAAUAUUUUCUCCACCGCAUAAGCCUAAAUCGGACCGAAAGCCUCACCGAUACCUAACAGCCAGGCAUAACAAGCACAAACAAGCCCAUGCCACCUUCACUGUUAACCCAACACAGGCAUGCCUCAAGGAAAGGUUAAAAAAAGUAAAAGGAACUCGGCAAACUCAAACCCCGCCUGUUUACCAAAAACAUCACCUCUAGCAUUACUAGUAUUAGAGGCACUGCCUGCCCAGUGACACACGUUUAACGGCCG